UUUGGUUGGUAAAUCUCUAUGUUUUAAAUUUUCUGGUAAAAGGUCACUGUAGUAAAAGUAUUAAUCGGAUUGAUUACGGUCAUGAAAGAUUCUCUCAAACCCGGAACCACUUUCUGGACAUCAGAUGAGAUGUACUACCACAGGAAAUCAAUUCACGAACAAAGGUGGAACACAUUUUCAAUUGACGAGUCUUUUGUUCACAACUACUGUCAGCACGAAUUGAACGUUAAGCCAUGGGUGAACAACAGUACUGACACAACUAAUCAACCUCGCAUUUGUUUUGUAGUUGGCGACGACUUUCUUGGAAAAAAAUUUCAGAUUGAAGGCGGAAAUUACGAAAUGCAGCAGCAGAAAAUUUUGUUUGGGGAAGUUUUCCCUAAGUAUCCACACGCAGUUUUCGUUGACAUUGGAGCUAUGGCUGGCAUAUACACAGUAUCUGCUGCUUUGCUCGGACGAAAAGUUUUUGCCUUUGAACCUCUAGAAAAUACACUGAAGAGUUUAUACCACAGUGUCGCCAUCAAUGGUCUUCAAGAAAGUGUCAGUAUAUUUCCUUAUGCUCUCAAAGAAAAAACGUAUUGCGUUUACUCUAAUUUCUUUUUGACGCCCAAAAAUGUGGCAGCAGCUAAGCUUGAGCCGGAUCAAAACUGUUCGAAAAACGAGAAUAUUAGAGUGACGACUUUGGACAAUUUGUUGCCGACUUUCCAAAAAUUGGGAAUUAAACAGGCCAGUGAGACAA